GGACCGCACGCGUACGGUCUGACUAAUAUCAAGGAGUUGAUCAAUUGUACUAGAUACAAAUACAUGUAACAGAUCAACAUAACUUAACUCUCAAAUAAAUAGAAAAAAAAUCAAUUGUAAUUGAAAUAAAAACUUUACAUUUUAACUAUUUAAAAAAUUCACGCCUAAUUAAAUUGUAAAUCUCUAGUAUUUAGCAUGUAGAUCAGUAAUACAUAAUACACUAAUUGAAUUAUGACAAUUAUUCUCGCUGAAAUUGAAUGCAAAUAAUGUGGGAGG
rnacentral:lncRNA from 1 species